GAUGAACGCUGGCGGCGUGCCUAAUACAUGCAAGUCGAGCGAACAGACGAGGAGCUUGCUCCUCUGUCGGUAGCGGCGAACGGGUUAGUAACACGUGGAUAACCUACCUAUAAGACUGGGAUAACUUCUGGAAACCGGAUCUAAUACCGGAUAAUCUAUUGAACCACAUUGUUCAAUAGUGAAAGACGGUUUUGCUUGCGCUUAUAGAUGGAUCCGGGCCGCGUUAGAUAGUUGGUAAGGUAACGGCUUACCAAGGCAACGAGGCGUAGCCGACCUGAUGGGGUGGUCAGCCACACUGGAACGGAGACACGGUCCAGACUACUACGGGAGGCAGCAGAGGGGAAUGUUCCGCAAUGGGCGAAAGCCUGAAGGAGCACAGCCGCGUGGGGGAUGAGAGUCUUCGGAUAGUAAAACUAUGUUAUUAGGGAAGAAGAAAUGUGUAAGUAACUAUGAACGUCUUGACGGUACCUAAUCAGAAAGCAACGGCUAACUCCGUG
rnacentral:rRNA from 1 species